UCCCUGGUGGUCCAGUGGUUAGGAUUCAGCGCUUUGACUGCUGGGACCCAGGUUCGAUCCCUGGUCAGGGAA